rnacentral:rRNA from 1 species
AGUGAACGCUGGCGGUAGGCCUAACACAUGCGAGUCGAACGGCAGCACAGUAAGAGCUUGCUCUUACGGGUGGCGAGUGGCGGACGGGUGAGGAAUACAUCGGAAUCUACUUUUUCGUGGGGGAUAACGUAGGGAAACUUACGCUAAUACCGCAUACGACCUACGGGUGAAAGCAGGGGAUCUUCGGACCUUGCGCGAUUGAAUGAGCCGAUGUCGGAUUAGCUAGUUGGCGGGGUAAAGGCCCACCAAGGCGACGAUCCGUAGCUGGUCUGAGAGGAUGAUCAGCCACACUGGAACUGAGACACGGUCCAGACUCCUACGGGAGGCAGCAGUGGGGAAUAUUGGACAAUGGGCGCAAGCCUGAUCCAGCCAUACCGCGUGGGUGAAGAAGGCCUUCGGGUUGUAAAGCCCUUUUGUUGGGAAAGAAAAGCAGCAGGUUAAUACCCCGCUGUUCUGACGGUACCCAAAGAAUAGGCACCGGCUAACUUCGUG